rnacentral:rRNA from 1 species
GACAGAGGGUGCAAACGUUGCUCGGAAUCACUGGGCGUAAAGGGCGCGUAGGCGGUCCGACAAGUCAGGGGUGAAAUCCUGCAGCUCAACUGUAGCAGUGCCUCUGAUACUGUCGGUCUCGAGGGAGAUAGGGGUGUGCGGAACUUCCAGUGGAGCGGUGAAAUGCGUUGAUAUUGGAAGGAACGCCGGUGGCGAAAGCGGCGCACUGGAUCUCUUCUGACGCUGAGGCGCGAAAGCUAGGGGAGCAAACGGG